rnacentral:rRNA from 1 species
UGGGGAAUCUUGGACAAUGGGCGGAAGCCUGAUCCAGCCAUGCCGCGUGAGUGAAGAAGGCCCUAGGGUCGUAAAGCUCUUUCACCGGUGAAGAUAAUGACGGUAGCCGGAGAAGAAGCCCCGGCUAACUCCGUGCCAGCAGCCGCGGUAAUACGGAGGGGGCUAGCGUUGUUCGGAAUUACUGGGCGUAAAGCGCGCGUAGGCGGAUUGUUAAGUCGGGGGUGAAAUCCCGGGGCUCAACCCCGGAACUGCCUCCGAUACUGGCAGUCUUGAGGUCGAGAGAGGUGAGUGGAAUGGCGAGUGUAGAGGUGAAAUUCGUAGAUAUUCGCCGGAACACCAGUGGCGAAGGCGGCUCACUGGCUCGAUACUGACGCUGAGGUGCGAAAGCGUGGGGAGCAAACAGGAUUAGAUACCCGCGUAGUCC